GAGUUUGAUCCUGGCUCAGAACGAACGCUGGCGGCAGGCCUAACACAUGCAAGUCGAGCGCACCCUUCGGGGCGAGCGGCGGACGGGUUAGUAACGCGUGGGAAUGUACCCUUUUCUACGGAAUAGCCAUUGGAAACGAUGAGUAAUACCGUAUACGCCCUUUGGGGGAAAGAUUUAUCGGAGAAGGAUCAGCCCGCGUUAGAUUAGAUAGUUGGUGGGGUAAUGGCCUACCAAGUCUACGAUCUAUAGCUGGUUUUAGAGGAUGAUCAGCAACACUGGGACUGAGACACGGCCCAGACUCCUACGGGAGGCAGCAGUGGGGAAUCUUAGACAAUGGGCGCAAGCCUGAUCUAGCCAUGCCGCGUGAGUGAAGAAGGCCUUAGGGUCGUAAAGCUCUUUCGCCAGGGAUGAUAAUGACAGUACCUGGUAAAGAAACCCCGGCUAACUCCGUGCCAGCAGCCGCGGUAAUACGGAAGGUGCAAGCGUUAAUCGGAAUUACUGGGCGUAAAGCGCGCGUAGGUGGUUUGUUAAGUUGGAUGUGAAAGCCCUGGGCUCAACCUAGGAACUGCAUCCAAAACUAACUCACUAGAGUACGAUAGAGGGAGGUAGAAUUCAUAGUGUAGCGGUGGAAUGCGUAGAUAUUAUGAAGAAUACCAGUGGCGAAGGCGGCCUCCUGGAUCUGUACUGACACUGAGGUGCGAAAGCGUGGGUAGCGAACAGGAUUAGAUACCCUGGUAGUCCACGCCGUAAACGAUGACAACUAGCUGUUAGGAGACUAUGUCUUUUAGUGGCGCAGCUAACGUUUUAAGUUGUCCGCCUGGGGAGUACGGCCGCAAGGCUAAAACUCAAAUGAAUUGACGGGGACCCGCACAAGCAGUGGAUCAUGUGGUUUAAUUCGAUGCAACGCGAAAAACCUUACCUACUCUUGACAUACUUGGAAGCUCUUGUAAUGAGAGUGUGCUUUUAAGAACCAAGAUACAGGUGCUGCAUGGCUGUCGUCAGCUCGUGUCGUGAGAUGUUCCGUUAAGUCGGAUAACGAGCGCAACCCUUACCCUUAUUUGCCAGCGAUUCGGUCGGGAACUAUAAGGGGACUGCCGGUGAUAAACCGGAGGAAGGUGAGGACGACGUCAAGUCAUCAUGGCCCUUACGAGUAGGGCUACACACGUGAUACAAUGGGAGAGACAGACGGACGCUAAGCCGCGAGGUGGUGCUAAUCCUAGAAACUCUCUCGUAGUCCGGAUUGGAGUCUGCAACUCGACUCCAUGAAGUUGGAAUUGCUAGUAAUCGCGGAUCAGCAUGCCGCGGUGAAUACGUUCUCGGGUCUUGUACACACCGCCCGUCACACCAUGGAAGUGGAUUGCACCAGAAGUAGAUAGUCUAACCUUAGGGAGGGCGUUUACCACGGUGUGCUUCAUGACUGGGGUGAAGUCGUAACAAGGUAACC
rnacentral:rRNA from 1 species